rnacentral:lncRNA from 1 species
CUUGACGUGUCGGUGCGGCGAAUUUAUUUCACUUUGCCUAAGGAACGGGGUGUGCUGCGGCCCCCAUUGCCUAGGGAAAAAACCCGGAUGUAAAAAACAAUGUUAAGACAUUCUUAGCUUGUGGGCUUCACAAACACAGGAGGUGGGCAGGAUUGAGCCCACAGGCUGUUGUGUACCAACCCCGGCUUUAGAAGACUAAAGUUGACGAGAUGAACUUCUUGUACCAGAGGGAUGCUUGGUUAAUAAGAUGUUUGUACAGCAAUCAAAAAUCAAUGUCAUGCAAAAUCAUGCUUUAGCUAUUUACUCUUAAUUAAAAUGCUUUAGCCAAUUAAUAGUCUAACACUCCUAUAACUAUCAAACUCUGUGGAAAAGAAUACUCUAGCUUGUGAUUCAUGGAGAGACCGCGUUUCCAUUUGCAUACUCUUCAUCACUCUAAGAUAGUGACGAGGAGUGGAACCAAGAGGACCUGGAUUCCGACACCUAACACGUAUCACUCCUUUUCAACUAAGGUCAGCUUAAGAACAUCUGAACUCUGGAAACCUGAGCACCCUCCUUCUUCACUGAGGCAAGAGGUAACUACGGCAGGUCAUCGAGGCUUCUUUUCUACUUCUUACUGGGCUGGAAUAAGUGCAAACCCGGUUUGUACCAACGGUGUGCUUAAAUAAGUAGAGGAGACAUAUCAAUGUGAUUUUUAAAGAAUUGUGACAGAAAAUCCCCAGUGACUAGCAGAAGUUGAAUAUACAUUCCUUCUCCCCACUGUCUCGAUGGUUUCUGAUCUCUUAAAAAUCUUCACUUGAACUGUCUUGUAUGUGUGUUUAUGGCAAGCUGAAAUCGUAAUUGGAAAUGAGUCAGGGAUAACUGGUAAAUAAAUAAAUAUUGGUGGGCAAGCAGUCGACUCUCUGGAGAAUACCUUCAAUUUCAUUACUUUGCCAAUCUCCAAGGUCAGUUUAAUCAUAAGCAACUUCAGGUGUGUGUGGGUUUAAUAGAAUUAACUAGAACAGGGCUCCCCAACCUUGGCACUGUUGACGCGUUGGGCCAGAUAAUUUUUGUUGGGGUGGAGGGGGGCGUUGUAGGAUGUUUAGCAGCCUCUCUGGCUUCUACGCACUAGAUACCAGUGGCACCUCCCCACAGUUGUGACAACCAAAAAUCUCUCCGGGCGUUGCCAAAUGUCCCCUGUGUGUGUGUAUGGGGCAGCGGGGAGGAGGGCAGAAUCGCAGCGAGGGCAGUGGGGCAGCAGCUAGAACCACUGAACUAGAC